rnacentral:rRNA from 1 species
UGGGGAAUCUUGCGCAAUGGGCGAAAGCCUGACGCAGCGACGCCGCGUGCGGGAAGAAGGCCUUCGGGUUGUAAACCGCUUUCAGGAGGGACGAAGCCACUCGGGUGAACAGCCCAGAGGGUGACGGUACCUCCAGAAGAAGCCCCGGCUAACUACGUGCCAGCAGCCGCGGUAAUACGUAGGGGGCAAGCGUUGUCCGGAUUCAUUGGGCGUAAAGAGCGUGUAGGCGGCCAGGUAGGUCGGUUGUGAAAACUGGAGGCUCAACCUUCAGAGGUCGACCGAAACCAUCUGGCUAGAGUCCGGGAGAGGAGAGUGGAAUUCCUGGUGUAGCGGUGAAAUGCGCAGAUAUCAGGAAGAACACCCGUGGCGAAAGCGGCUCUCUGGAACGGUACUGACGCUGAGACGCGAAAGCGUGGGGAGCGAACA